UCCCUGGUGGGCCAGUGGUUAAGACUCCAUGCUUCCAAUGCAGAGGGCCCAGGUUCAAAUCCUGGUCAGGGAA
rnacentral:tRNA from 1 species